AGAGUUUGAUCCUGGCUCAGGACGAACGCUGGCGGCGUGCCUAACACAUGCAAGUCGAACGGGGUCCAUGGGAGCUUGCUCCCGGAAGACCUAGUGGCGAACGGGUGAGUAACACGUGAGGAACCUGCCUCGGAGUGGGGAAUAACUCGGGGAAACUCGAGCUAAUACCGCAUACCCUCGGAUGAUCGCAUGGUCGCCCGAGGAAAGAUUUAUCGCUCUGAGAGGGCCUCGCGGCCUAUCAGCUAGUUGGUGGGGUAACGGCCUACCAAGGCAACGACGGGUAGCUGGUUUGAGAGAACGAUCAGCCACACUGGGACUGAGACACGGCCCAGACUCCUACGGGAGGCAGCAGUGGGGAAUCUUGCGCAAUGGGCGAAAGCCUGACGCAGCAACGCCGCGUGCGGGAUGACGGCCUUCGUGGUUGUAAACCGCUUUCAGCAGGGACGAAACUGACGGUACCUGCAGAAGAAGCCCCGGCUAACUACGUGCCAGCAGCCGCGGUAAUACGUAGGGGGCAAGCGUUGUCCGGAUUCGUUGGGCGUAAAGAGCUCGUAGGCGGUUCAGUAAGUCAGGUGUUGAAGCUCCGAGCUCAACUCGGAGAGGCCAUCUGAUACUGCUGUGACUAGAAUCCAGUAGGGGAGCGUGGAAUUCCUGGUGUAGCGGUGAAAUGCGCAGAUAUCAGGAGGAACACCAGCGGCGAAGGCGGCGCUCUGGGCUGAGAUUGACGCUGAGGAGCGAAAGUGUGGGUAGCAAACAGGAUUAGAUACCCUGGUAGUCCACACCGUAAACGUUGGGCACUAGGUGUGGGGAGGAAUCAACCCUUUCCGUGCCGUAGCUAACGCAUUAAGUGCCCCGCCUGGGGAGUACGGCCGCAAGGCUAAAACUCAAAGGAAUUGACGG
rnacentral:rRNA from 1 species